ACAAGCGGUGGAGCAUGUGGUUUAAUUCGAUGCAACGCGAAGAACCUUACCUGGGCUUGACAUCCCGGGAAUCCUUGGAACAGGAGUGCCCUUCGGGGAACCUGGAGACAGGUGCUGCAUGGCUGUCGUCAGCUCGUGUCGUGAGAUGUAGGGUUAAGUCCCGCAACGAGCGCAACCCUUGUCUUUAAUUGCCAUCAUUGAGUUGGGCACUUUAAAGAGACUGCCGGUGUUAAACCGGAGGAAGGUGGGGAUGACGUCAAGUCCUCAUGGCCUUUAUGCCCAGGGCUACACACGUGCUACAAUGGCAGGUACAGAGGGCUGCGAAGCCGCGAGGUGGAGCGAAUCCCAGAAAACCUGUCUCAGUCCGGAUUGAAGUCUGCAACUCGCCUGCAUGAAGUCGGAAUCGCUAGUAAUCGCAGGUCAGCAUACUGCGGUGAAUACGUUCCCGGGCCUU
rnacentral:rRNA from 1 species